rnacentral:rRNA from 1 species
UGAAUACGAGAUGCUACGGCAUUGAAGUAGUGUAUGUCAGACUUCCAAGAAAAGCUCGCAAUGUCGUAAAUAAAUAAUGCCUGUACCUUAACCGACACAGGUGGGUAGGUAGAGUAUACUAAGGGGCGCGAGAUAACUCUCUCUAAGGAACUCGGCAAAAUGACUCCGUAACUUCGGGAGAAGGAGUGCCUCAUUUAUGAGGUUGCAAUAACAAGAUCCAAGCAACUGUUUACCAAAAACACAGGUCUCCGCUAAGUCGUAAGACGAUGUAUGGGGGCUGACGCCUGCCCAGUGCCAGAAGGUUAAAGAAGUUGGUUAGCAUUCGCGAAGCUGAUAACUCAAGCCCUGGUGAACGGCGGCCGUAACUAUAACGGUCCUAAGGUAGCGAAAUUCCUUGUCGGGUAAGUUCCGACCCGCACGAAAGGCGUAAUGAUUUGGAUUCUGUCUCAGAGAGGGACUCGGUGAAAUAGACUUGUCUGUGAAGAUGCGGACUACCUGCACCAGGACAGAAAGACCCUAUGAAGCUUUACUGUAACUUGAAAUUGAAAUUGGACUUUAGUUGCGCAGUAUAGGUGGGAGGCGUUGAUUUUAUUCUUGCGGGAAUUUAGGAGCCAUCAGUGAGAUACCACUCUGCUAAUGUUAGAUUUCUAACUUUGUAUCAUAAUCUGGUCAAAGAACAGUUUCAGGCGGGCAGUUUGACUGGGGCGGUCGCCUCCUAAAUGGUAACGGAGGCGUACAAAGGUUUCCUCUGAACGUGUAGAAAUCGUAUCUAGAGUAUAAAGGCAUAAGGAAGCUUGACUGUGAGACUUACAAGUCGAGCAGGGACGAAAGUCGGUCUUAGUGAUCUGACGGUGCUGAGUGGAAAGGCCGUCACUCAACGGAUAAAAGUUACUCUAGGAUAACAGGCUGAUCUCCCCCAAGAGUUCACAUCGACGGGGAGGUUUGGCACCUCGAUGUCGGCUCAUCGCAUCCUGGGGCGGUAGUACGUCCCAAGGGUUGGGCUGUUCGCCCAUGAAAGCGGUACGCGAGCUGGGUUCAGAACGUCGUGAGACAGUUCGGUCCAUAUCCGGUGUAGGCGUUAGAAUAUUGAGAGGAGCCUUCUUUAGUACGAGAGGACCGAGAAGGACAUACCUCUGGUGUACCAGUUAUCGUGCCAACGGUAAACGCUGGGUAGCUAUGUAUGGAGUGGAUAACCGCUGAAAGCAUCUAAGUGGGAAGCCCACCUCAAGAUAAG